rnacentral:rRNA from 1 species
AUGAAGGGCAUGGUGUGCCUGGUGGCCGUGGCACUGGUCCUCGCCGGCAGCGUCAGCAUUGCGGCGGCGCAGGCGGCCGGGCUGAAGAAGGGCUUCUACAAGAAGAGCUGCCCGCAGGCGGAGGACAUCGCGCAGAAGGUGGUGUGGAAGCACGUCGCCGGCAACCGCGAGCUCGCCGCCAAGUUCCUCCGCAUGUUCUUCCACGACUGCUUCGUCAGGGGGUGCGAUGCGUCGGUGCUUCUGGACUCGCCGACCAACACGGCGGAGAAGGACGCGCCGCCGAACCUGUCGCUGGCCGGGUUCGAGGUCAUCGACGAGGUGAAGGCGGCGCUGGAGCGGGCGUGCCCGGGGGUGGUCUCGUGCGCCGACAUCGUGGCGCUGGCGGCGCGGGACUCGGUGUCGUUCCAGUACGGGAAGAAGCUGUGGGAGGUGGAGACGGGGCGGCGGGACGGCACCGUGUCCAGCGACACGCAGGCGUUGAACGAGAUCCCGGCGCCGUCCUCCACCUUCGACAUUCUCCUCACCAACUUCUCCGGCAAGGGCCUCGGCCUCCAGGACCUCGUCGUCCUCUCAGGCGGACACACCAUCGGAAUAGGCAACUGCAACCUCUUCAGCUCCAGGCUCUUCAACUUCACGGGCAAGAACAACCCCACCGACACCGACCCCUCCCUCAACCCACCCUACGCCAAGUUCCUCCAGGGGCAGUGCAGGCGUAACCAGCAGGACCCGAACGACAACACGACGGUGGUGCCCAUGGACCCCGCCAGCAGCACCUCCUUCGACAGCCACUACUUCGUCAACCUCAAGGCGCGGCAGGGGAUGUUCACCUCCGACGCCACGCUGCUCACCAACGGCCGCGCCGCCGCGCUCGUCGACAAGCUGCAGGACAACGGCGUCUUCUUCGACCACUUCAAGAACUCCAUCAAGCGCAUGGGCCAGAUCGGCGUCCUCACCGGCGCCAGCGGCCAGAUCAGGAACAAGUGCAACGUCGUCAACUCCUAG